GAUAGAUAGAUAUUUAUGUUAUCUAAGAUGCUUCCUUUCUCCUCAUCACCAUCUUGUUCCUUCCUUCAUUUCUGAAAAAGCCCCUUCAUCACCAUGACUCCAUUCUUCAAAAUCACCAUUUGAUUCCUUUGUCUUCAAAUCGAGAGAAAAAGGCCUUCGUUCUUUAUUAUUUUAAGAAAAAAUUGUAUUCGAAAGUACCAUAUUGACCUUCACUUAAAUGAAAAAUUCAUCCACUAUCCUCAAUCCUCAACCUACGAAUUCGAACGAUUCUUUCACUGAUUCUCUCGCGUCGCCACUCGCCGUCGGCGCAACUGCUCCGAUCGAACGAACUCUCCUCUCUUUUCUGAAGGUGAAGCGUGGGUAUGAGGAGUUCGUUCGAUUAACGAUCUUCCUGAUUCAACCGGAGACGUGCUGAUGCUUAUAAUGCUAGAGAGGAGAUCAAAGUUAUGAAGCAGUGGAGAGAGGCUGGAAACGAUGUUGAACUGAUGGAGAGUUAGAAAUUUUCUAAAGUGGCGAGCAUCUGAAGAAGGGUCAUCCAAUUGAGUAAAGGUAUUCACAAUCGAAAAUCAUGGGAAAUAUUAAUGAGGUCAACCAUAAAGAUUGAAGUGAAUGGAAAUAGAAUGACCAUCAAUUUAGAGCUUAUUUGAAAGAGAAUGGACAUGAUUUGUUUUUCAUUAUGCCUUUCCAUAAAUAUUAGACUUGUUUUGAUCUAA